rnacentral:misc_RNA from 1 species
UAUAUCUAGCUGGCAGAUUGAAAGGUAAAACCUAACUGCUGUAAAAUGGGAGCAUUUUAUCAUCAUAUAGAAUUCAUUCAAUCAUUUUGUUUUCAAAAGAAAAGGAAUUCCUUUCAUUUUCUCAUGCAGCACAAGUUCUUUGCUAAACUCACAAAGAAUGAAUGAAUCAAGCAUCUCAGAAACAUAUUACACAGUUGUCGAUUCCACCCUACCUGUGGGCUUUUCCUUUUCUGGUACCUUUAUGUUAACUUAUUCCUUGUCAUGAUUUCAGGUACAGAUCUAAAGCCUAGAGUUCGUAAGCGCCAUUUAUUUAGAAGAUUACUUGGGAGGGAAUGAUGUAUUAAUGAUAAAGUAGGCGUGAAGCCUUACUUUGGAUGGAGUAAUUAAAAACCUCAGCAUAAUCACCCCAAGUUUCUAGCAUGGCGCUGCUCUGCCAAUGUUCAGAGGCAGAGAACUUCUCCAAGGGUAUUUUCUUGAAUGGGCAGGAGUAGAAAAAAAAAAGGCCAUGUUCAGGAUGUACUAAAAGAUGGACAAUUUUCUCAUACCCUGAAAUCAUUCCACUAGGUUCGCAUUCCUUGUAUAUAGAGUAGUAGACUAACUAAAGUUGUGAUUAAAUUCGUCAUUUGAGCGAUAGUUUGUUAUUAAUAGUAAGUUAGGUUGCAGAAAUUGCUUUAAAUUUUGAUUAAAUUGAACACGUGUAGCGUUUAAAUGCCACUCUAGUAUUAACUUGAAAUUUUGCAAUCUUCAACUUUUAGCUAGUUCACUGUUCGCGGGCUCCACAACAUUGGGCUCAUGCGGCAAUGGGCUCGGCUCAAAUUUUACUUUUGUAUCAUAUGUCAUAAAAUUAUCUAUUUUUCUUUCUGUUGGACAGAGCCUCGCCGGAGUCUGGACAAUGAUCAGGUACUAAGCUAGAGGCAUAAUAAAUCCAGACAACUGGAGCCAAAUCAUUCGAAAGGGAAAGAGAUCAUUUUUCUCAAAUAAAAACUGGUGGAUUUUUGUUUUGGUAUAGUUUUCAGUAAAUGUAGACAGAAUAUAGUUUUAAAAUGCAAAACCUUAUAUCAUUAUAGUUUUGUAUUAUAAAAUUUGAAAUAAAUUAUUUAUAAAA